CGCGGCCUAKCAGCUUGUUGGUGGGGUAAUGGCCUACCAAGGCGACGACGGGUAGCCGGCCUGAGAGGGUGACCGGCCACACUGGGACUGAGAUACGGCCCAGACUCCUACGGGAGGCAGCAGUGGGGAAUAUUGCACAAUGGGCGCAAGCCUGAUGCAGCGACGCCGCGUGGGGGAUGACGGCCUUCGGGUUGUAAACCUCUUUCAGUACCGACGAAGCGUAAGUGACGGUAGGUACAGAAGAAGCACCGGCCAACUACGUGCCAGCAGCCGCGGUAAUACGUAGGGUGCGAGCGUUGUCCGGAAUUACUGGGCGUAAAGAGCUCGUAGGUGGUUUGUCGCGUUGUCCGUGAAAACUCACAGCUUGACUGUGGGCGUGCGGGCGAUACGGGCAGACUAGAGUACUGCAGGGGAGACUGGAAUUCCUGGUGUAGCGGUGGAAUGCGCAGAUAUCAGGAGGAACACCGGUGGCGAAGGCGGGUCUCUGGGCAGUAACUGACGCUGAGGAGCGAAAGCGUGGGGAGCGAACAGGAUUAGAUACCCUGGUAGUCCACGCCGUAAACGGUGGGUACUAGGUGUGGGUUCCUUCCUUGGGAUCCGUGCCGUAGCUAACGCAUUAAGUACCCCGCCUGGGGAGUACGG
rnacentral:rRNA from 1 species